rnacentral:lncRNA from 1 species
ACAACUUUACUGGUUACACUCAAGGUGAUACAAGCCAAAUUAGCUUUAACCGUUCAAGGACUAUAAUUCAAGGACAAUACAAAAGGACCCAAGCCACGAUCAUCUCAAGGAUGCAAGGAUAUGUUUGGAGGACCCUUUUCAAGCUCCCCGGGUGUGGAGUAUAGCUUGUAAUCGGGAGCCAAAUUCACCUCAAAACUUCUACUAGGAAGCAAGCUCGAGAACGACCAACAUUCCAAUGAUUAUUGAUGAAGCUAGAUGUGUUACAAACAACCUUGAUACCAUUUAAGGAGUGUUGUAUGUUUCCCAAUGCAUUCAAGAAGGAUCGAAGGCCAUUAGAGAGGUCGUUGAAGGAUCGAAAGGAGCUCGAAGACAAUUUGGAGUGACCUACGAAGUCAACUGUGCCCACAAGUGACUGACCUGCGUCCGGAGGUGACUGACUUGCGCCCACAGGUGACUGACCUGUGCCCGCAGAUGGCACCUGCGCCCUCCAACUGUACCAGCAGAUGGCCGUCUAUGUGGGCAUGUGGUCCAAAGCAGUCAGCUUGCUUCAUUUUGUAAAAUUGGGUCACUUUUUGGGCCAUAAAUGUAAUAAAUAGCUCAUGAAUAUAAAUAGUAGAUUUCUUCAUUUUUAGUUUUGUUAGCUUUUGAUGAUUAUUUUGAAUAUACACUUGUGAGUGUGAGAGCUAGGAUUAGCUUGUGUUGAACAUGUUUCGAAACGUGAGUUACUUGGGAGUUCGAUUCCCUUGUGGUUUACGUAAGAGAUAGGUGUUUGAAUGUAUUUGAAAAGGAGGUCUUAGAAUAUGAUACAUUCUUCGAUUGUCCUUUCCUAUAUUUUGUUGUGUCUAUCUAUCUAUCUAUCUAUCUAUCUAUCUAUCCUUUACCUUUCUGCAAUUUCAAUUCUAUCAUUUCUUUAGUUUUUGUGUUUGUUUCGUCUUCUAGUAUUUGCGCGUUAUCAUUUGGUUUCAGAGCCGAGCUUGAGUUCGUUCCCACGAAUUCGAUCUUGGACUUGUUACGUAGAAAAUUUUCAUUUUUGAGAAAAACCCCAAAAAUAUUUUUUUGUUGAGUCUUCUUUGUAGUUUCUAUACUAGAUUUUGUUUCAUUUAGUAUAUUUGAGUGGGAAUCUUGAGCUUUAAACUUGGCUUUAGUAGUUUUGAAGAAAAACCCAUUGUUGGGCUUGUGUUUGAAGAAAUUUGAAAAGUGAAUUUUUAGAUAUAGUCAUUUUGAUUGUUGAUUUGAAGGAUAAAAUUGUUGGAAAGUGUUCUCUAUCUUGAAGGGAACCUAGAGCUAAAAUUUGGUGUCGAUUGGAGAAGUGUUGAAAAAUCCACCAUUUUUAGAUUUAAAGCUUGAAGAAAUAUGCAAAUAGGUUUGGAAAUCUGAAAAUUUUGGUGAGGAUUUGAAGGUUAAAGGUUCCAAAUGUUGUUGGAUGGUGUUCCCCGUGAUGAAGAGAGCUUUGAUUUCAAAUUUAUUGAAUUCCGAGCAAAAAAAAAGUUGUGGUUUUUGGAUAUUCAGAUUUGUUCUUGAAGAUAUUCAAGAAGAAGAUUCAUCCAAAAAGUGUGUUAGUUCCAAAAAAGGAAGAAAGAGAAACGUGUUUGGGUGUUGGUACAAAAGAAUAUCUCAAAAGAAAAAGGAAUAUUUUAGGAGAGAGAACCCAAAAGGGCCCACAAAAAGGGGAAAUUUGGAGUUCUAGCUAAGCUGUCUGGAGCACCUGCGCCGCCAUCUACGCACGCAGGUCCCACAUGCAGCUGCAUGUGGACAGCGCAGGUCACUCCAGCAACUUGUUUUGACAUGCAACCUCCACCUGAGCUCGCAAGUCAUGACAUGCAUCUGCACACCUCCAAAACGCACUUCAACCAUCUCAAAUUCCAUUUUGCUCAGGUUCCAAGAUCUUAGUCUCACUUCUUGAUUCCUUAUUUCAUUUUUUAAUUCCUAAACUAGUUAACAAUUAGUAAUUCAUCUACUCGGUUGAUUAAGUCUCGAGUCCCAUUUCUUUUAUGCUUUUCUCGUUUUUGUUUCGUUGUUAUUUAUUUAUUCAAGUCUGUGGUUGUUUGUUUGAGUCAUAUAUUCUUCUUCAAAACAAGAAUCCAUUCCGACCACGAUUAGCAAUUGACACCACGUCUUCCAUUGAAGUGGAAACGAUCUUUCAACGCGACUCCUAUUGUAAGGAAGACAACGGUAAGAAUCUUACGAGCGUGGCGAGGAGCUUUUACUACUUUGUUCAUUUUGUAGGUACAAGGAGUUAUAAGGAAGUAUAUCGUCGGUAACUUCGGAUACUUGUGACCACAACAUAGGAUAUACUAUAAUUGUGGUGAGGAACGCCAAGUUGCUUGGAUUCUCCAAAAAUGUUGCCACACCCGUGUCAAAUCCUUCAUAAAUACACUAUUGUUAGAGGAUCCGACAUGCACCCAUAGACAUUUUUGAAGAGACCAAGCAACUUAGAGGAAGGCUACGGCUAUGACAAAGAUGGAGAUUAUGGAGGCUAUAAAUAUAGCCAUCAUCAAGAGUCGUCUGGGAAUACGAGCAACUAUCCCGGAGAAGGAUAUGAGGCCAAUAAUGAGUUUAGCUCUUAUGGAGAGGACGAAGAGCCUUGUGAUGGUUUUUUUUAUGACAAUGGAGCAUAUGAAGAGUUUCACUUCCCACUCCAGGAAUGAAGGUGAUGUAAGGUAUAACGCUUUCUCUUAUGCACCUUAUAAGAAUCAUAGUGAGAACAUGCAUGAGGAUUUCGAAGAUUCAUAUGCCUUACCUUAUGGAACUUCUUAUCAAAGUUGAAUUAUGAGUCGUUAUACUACCUUUAGUAGAAGUCGUCAAAUGGGAAGAAAGAGAGUGUACACCUCCGAGAUCAAGGGAAACUACAUCCUAUACUCCUCGCUCCAAUGCACCAAUUUCGGGAUGUAGGAACCAAAGGCUAGCUAGAAAGAGUUGAUAUAGGUCUUGAAGCUAUCAAGGUCACUCUUCCUAUUUUAAAAAGAGAGUGUGAUUCCGAGACUUAUCUCAAUCGGGAAUGGCAAUGUAAGUUGGUUUUCCAAGACCAUAACUUGAACGAAAACGAGAAAGAGAAGACCCAAUAUGAUGUUGAACACCUUAAAGGGAGUGUUUCCGCUUAGUGGAAAAUCUAUAGUGUGACUCUAUGUUUAGUAUAUGGUUAUAUAAAGAGAGUGCCAUGGAAAGACUUCAAGGGAUUCCUUAGAAGCUAAUAUGUUCCGAAAGGAUACAUGAAGCUUUACAAUGCUAACUCGAGAAGACAAACUCUUAACCUUAAAGUUGCUUUUCGUGGAAUUCCAAGAUUUGAUCUUGCUUUAGAUGAUUGGUGUUAUGAAAAUUACAUCACUCAUUAUACGGUAGAAUACUUGAGAAUGCCAUAAGUGUCAAACCGUCAACCAUAUAUCAUGGAUGGAUAUAAGGUCACCGAGAAUGUGAAGGUCUCUUUCACUUGUAAAGGGUAUUACGAGGUGGUUUGAUGUGAUGUACUUCCCAUAAACUCUAGUCAUUUAUGUUUGGGUGCCAACGGGUUUGCAAGAUAUGGAAUUCCAAAUGAGUAAAAUUGGCCUAAGAUCGUUGUGGACCAAUGGAGAAAUCAUCUAUUUCCACCUGCCCUUCCCAAUCGUCAAGGAAAUGGCACUUACUCCACACCCAACCAAACUGAGAGACAAGAUUGAGAGGAGUAAGUGAGUACAAAGUGGUAACCCAACAGUUGAAAAAGGAGAGGUUGUGAGGAGUGAAGUGAAAGGGUUACCACAAACCCAAUCUAACUUUGUUUGUCCUUCUCUUAGUAAGGAUAUAUGUGUAGGUACAACGAUGGCAAAUGGAGAAGCACCAACUCCCAAAGAGAAGAUUAACUUUGAUGGAGUGAUGAGUUUCUUAACCAAACUAGGCAAAGGGUGGACUCUUUCAAGGAACGGCUUGAAGCAUGUUCCAACACUUUGAAAAGGAACCUUGCACCAAGGUAAAGAAGAAUCUUCUCAAGAACUUCAAGGUAAAAAAGCUAACUCUUGAACUUUAGUAAAUGUGAAAGAUCAUUGUAUGGCUAGUAGCCAAUUGACUUUGAGUGAUAGUUUAUCUAUAUGUGAGCCUAAUGAUUAUUUGCAUGUGUUGAUAAUGUACAUGUUGAGGGUGUGGAUACACUAGUUGAUCCUAUUAAUGACCGAAUUGAUUCUUCUUGUAAGGUCGAUUUGAGUCCAUAUAGUGUUGAAGCCGUUGUGUUGAAUGAUAGUACAUUUCUUAUGAAAAUGGUAUUGAUCAACUUACUUGUGAAUCUAGUCCACUACUUGAGAGUGUUUGUGAUGUGGUUAGUGAACCUCAAGUUAGUGAUGAUGUUGAUAAUAUUUAUACUUUGAAUAAGAGUGACCCUUUGAGCAUACCUUCUAGUGAAAAUACUAUUACUUGCUUGGCUCAUUUAGAUGAUCAUGUGUUUGAAACUUCUUCGAAAUUUGAUAAUUGUUUUCUUGAGAGUGAACUUACAUGUUCCAAUUCACCUUCUUGGAUUGAUCCUUCUCUCUUUAGGUACAAUUUCUUAUUUAAGGAUGAUAAAAUCACUCCUACUGAACUAACUAGUGGUGUAGAUCAUGUUAAUGAUGUAGCUCUUCUUAAGGGUUAAACUUCAAUAACAACCCACUAUGAUGACAACAUUCCUCCUAAAAAUGAAAAUCUCUUCUUAGAAGAUAAGAAUACUCUAUAGGAAAGGAUUUUGAGGAAGUUAAAAGUGAUUUUUGUAUACCAAUUGUUUAUUCUUCUUCAAGUGUUCCAAUGAGCAUAUUCUUGAAAAAGUUUUUGAACAUAGUAGUGACCAUGCACUAGAGGACACCUUAGAUGAAAUCAAUUUGCUUGACACCUUUUUUUUACUCUCUAUUUGUCUAUGAAAACACUUAUGCUUGUGAAGAGAGUAUAUCUUUUUGUGUUGGUGGCACCUUUGAGGAAAAAUGGUGGUUUCUAAACCCAUGUCUAUGGCCACUCUACCCAUUUGACCCCGGUGACCCAUUGGAAUGUGGUGGUUGUAAGCCAACCCACUUGGUGCUUGGUCAAGAUGAUAAGCAAGGUUUGGAUAGAGUUGUCUGUACUAUUCUCUAUGACGGAGAAUCUUUCUUGAGGAUUUCUAAUCCACUUGAAAGACCAAAGUUGUGUAAGGGAAAGAUCUCCAACAAAGAUGAAUGUUCUUUAAAGAAGAAGAGCAAUGGAAAAAACCAAAAGAAUUCUCCAUUGUGUGUUUCCAAUCUUGAACAAAGUUUUAUUACUUGUAGGCCGGAGAGUGAGUCUUGUCUUGAAAACACCAUGGAUGAAUUCUAUUUAUGUGAUACCUUUCUGUAUUACCUUUUUGCUUAUGAUGUUAUUCAUAAUGGUGUUGAAUCAACAUCUUAUGUGAACAUGGAAUGUUUUGAAGGAAAAAACAUUAUGAGCUUAAAUGCAAUAUGUUUGUUAACUUCAAUAGGGGAUACUUUCUUAUUUGACCCCAGUGAUGAUUUGCAAGUAAUCUCAUUCUUGGAGAUAGCUAGUGCAUUGAGUAAAGUCUUUAGUUGGAAUGAUCUUGUUCAUAACAUUGCACUUUGCUUUAGAGAUUAUCAUGUGACUCUUGACGUAAAGGGAAAUUGUGUGUGUACGACCUCGUAAAAUUUCAACCAUUUUAUUUUUGAACUUCCCGUGUACGUAACAUAUAUUUUUGACUUGAAUUAUGUUAAGGGAUGUUAAAAGAAUGUCUGGAAAAAGUUUCAAAAUUUUUGGAAGGGGUUCGAGGCCAUUUUGGGACCCAAGGGCGGGGUCAGCAAUAGUGGCGUGCCACGCCACUUAGCUUCGCGAAAAGAGCGUGGCACGUUGGCUACCCUCCGCUCUUGCGGCGCGCCACACUGCUAUAUAUUUUUCGUCUAGUUUUUUAUUUUUCAAUUGAGGUGAGGGGCUUUUUGGUCUUUUACCCCCUUAAACGACUUUAAAACACCAAAUUGACCUUUUUCCCUUCAGUUAUCACGAUCAAACACCAUUCUUUUCCUUCUUAACUCUCGACCCAAGAAAGUUCAAGGGUUUCACAAGAAAUCACCACUUCAGGUUCCAAACUUUGAUUUCUCUUCAAAUUCUUUGGUAUUUCAGGCAUGUUUCUCUGUCUUUAACUUGAAUUUUACAUUGUGGCAUCAAUUUAUUGAACAUUCGUGAUUUAAAUUGUUGGGUUUGAAAUUAGGUUGAGGGAUUUUGAUAGUUAUUACGUGAAUUGUUUUUUCCAUGUUUUAAAUAUGUUAUUCAUGCUAUAAUUGAUUGUUUUGGAGACUGAAUUGGUGCAUAAUUAUAAUAAUUGGAAUGGGGGACAAGGGUUUUCCCAAAUUGAUGAAAUCUUAGCUUAAUAAUGACAUUAACCUUAAUCCACUUUACAAUCUAGGUUUUUAAUAUGAAUAUUCAUAUAGUUUAACUUAUCCUUUGAAAACAUUGCAUUGCAUUAAAGGAUAAAUGAAUAACAAUAAUUUUGGGAUGACCUUGGUGGCCAUGAUUUUGGAUUUUAAAUGGAACUUAGAAGUCUAAAGGUUAAAUGGAUUGGUUUGACAUAAUUGAAUUAGCUUACAAGCAUAUUGGUAUGACGAUAUCAUGUUGGAAAAUGCCUUAAUAAAGACUUUUGGUUAAUGGUUGGGUUUAUGUGUAAACUGUUUAACUUUAGGCUUAAAGGAAAUUGUGUAGUUCACCAUGAAGGUGUAGCCCGAGGAAGCAACACUGGAAACAACGUUUGCCGACUUUGGGAGUCUAUAUGACCAUGUGUGUGGAUACACAUUAUAUUUUGGAUGGUUAUCACCUUGGUGUCUUUACCAUUUCCUCAGUAUAUGUGGCUAACAUGGACUGAGGCCCUUUCGGCAGGGGAGCCAAACCCAUAUAGCCCGUGGGUGCCUUUAGGACGGAGCGAGCUACGUAGUUCAGGCUAAUGAUUUAAACUAUCAUGGUAAUGGGCCCUUACCCCUAUCCCGGCAUCCUAUAUACAUCUAUAUAAAUGUUGUGCAUGUGGUUUCAACUGGUUUUUGAUAAAUACACUAUUUUAUCACUUUCCCUCGAGUUAUAUGUCAGUGCUCGCCCCAUUGACCACCCCAGGACGCUGCAUCAUUUCAUGAUGUAGGUUUAGAGGACUAUUCUGUAGCUCCUGUGCAGCGUUAGGUGGUUCGGUACGUCUAUUGGUCUGUUGUGAAGUAGUGAGCCUCCAUCUUUCGGAAUGCCUGGUCCUUUCAUUGGUUUUAUUAUUGCCUUAGUAUUUCUUUUUGGAUUCUCUUUGUCAUAGUUGAGGGCAUGUCAGUUGGUAUUUUUGAUUUAGAGGCUUUUGUGGACAGUUUUGGGGAUGACAUAGAUGUUUUGUUUUGACUCUUUAUCUUUCUUUUGGAUUAAUAUAUCCUUUAUAAACUUGUGUGACUUCCGUUGUUUACAUUUAUGUGCUCUUGAGGUAAGGCUAAGGAGGGUAUCUCUGGCCAUGGUGGGCUUGAGAUUACCCGUCACCGCCAAGCCCGAUUUCGAAUCGUGACAAGCUUGGUAUCAAAGCCAGGUUUAAGGUCUCUGGAUGUCUACAAAACCAUGUUAAGUAACAUUCUUUUUAUAGGUGUGUAGCGCGCCACACUUAUAAGGGGUAGGCUACAAGACAUUUAGGAGUGUUUCCCUUUCUUGUGUUCUAUUUCGGGCUAUAGAGUUUAGUUGCUAUGGAACUUCUCUAACUCCUUAAUUACUCACGUUUCAAAUCAUGUCUCCCUGGAGAUCUAACGAUCAUAGAAACUCUGUUGAAACCUCUGUCCCACCUGGGGAAAAUGUGGAGGGAAUUCGCCCUACUUAUGGAGUGCAGACCCGAUCCAGGGUCUUGUUCCUGACUGUGCCGCUCCACCUGGGGUUCCACUGGUCCCUACUAGUCCUCCUCGAACUUCUCAGACUGGUGAUACUUAUGCUCAGUCGCCUCAGGGAGAUCUCUAAUGCAGAGUUCCGUCAGUCUAUCCAUAUGUUUGCCCAACUGGUGGCAUCACAGUCUCGUCGAUCUGAUUAUGUUGGUCUUGUUGCUAAUUCAUCUGAGGUUACCCGUAUUUGGCUAGUUUAUGAGGUUGAAUCCCCCAACCUUUAUAAGCUCUAAGGUUGAGGAAGAUCCUCGGGGGUUUAUUGAAGAGAUGGAGAAGAUCUUUAGGGUGAUGCAUGCUACUGAUUCAGAAGGUGUGGAGUUUGUUGCUUAUCAAUUAAAGGAGGUAGCUUACCAGUGUUACGAGGAGUGGGAAGAGAUGACGGGAUGGUGCUGAGCCGGUGAAGAUUUUGUGAACUUGAAGCAAGGUAAGAUGAGUGUUAAAGAGUACGCACUGAAGCUCCAACAGUUGCCCUGUUAUUCUCCGGAAUUGGUGUCUAAUACGAGGUCCUGAAUGAGGAAGUUUGCUUUUGGUUUAUCCCGUGACUUGGUGUUAGUGUGCAAGGCUGCUAUGUUGAAUAAUGAUAAGGACAUAUCCAGGAUGACUGUUUAUAUGCAGCAGGUGAAGGAUGAGAAAAAGAAGCAAGUAGAGAUGGAAGAAAGGCAAAACAAGAAGUUUAGAUAUACGGAGCAGGGUAUAGGUCAGUAGAACAGUGGGAGAAAUGAUAGGCAGUGGACUAAGAAAAAAAAUUGGAGAAAUUCUUAUUCGUCAGCCAGAGCUCCUUAUCUUAACCCUUCGGGUGAUCAUCGUUUUCAUGCUAGUAGUGGUCUUAAGGCACAGGGUGCCUAGUCUCACGUCAGUAGAGCUCAGUCAGGCCUACCCUAUCCUCCUUGUCGAUUUUGUGGACAGCUUCAUUGUAGGUAUUGUGAAGAGAGGAGGAAUUUGUGUUUUAAUUGUGGUCAGCCUAAUUACCUGCAUAAUUACCUGCAGCGGAAUUAUCCUAUAGCUAAUGUUACCACUAAAGCUAAUAAAGUCUCGGUCGCCACUUCUUAAGCUCUUGCACCUAAGGGCGCUACAUUAGGUAUCGCCUUUAUGCAUUUGCUACUCGCCAGGAGUAUGAGGCAUCCCCAGAUGUUGUUACUGGUAUGUUACAGCUCUUUUCCCGUGAUGUUUACUGUUUGCUUGAUCCGGGUUCUACCCCGUCUUAUAUGACCCCUUAUGUAGUUGUACACUUUGGUUUUGGUCCUAAAAUUAUUUUCGACACCUUCUUUGUUUCUACUCAGUGGAUGACUAUUGUUGCUAGAAAAAUCUAUAAGGGUUGUAUGAUGUCCAUUCUCCCUAGGGACACAUUGGUGGAUUUGAUAGAACUUGACAUGGUAGAUUUUGAUGUAAUCUUGGGGAUGGAUUAGCUCCAUUCAUGCUAUGUUUCUCUGGAUUGUUGGAUUGUAGCACCUGAAAGGUCAGUUUUCAUUUUCCUAAUGAACCGAUGGAGGUUUAUUUCCUAUCUUAGAGCUCAGAAGUUGAUCUCCAAGAGGUGUCUGUAUCAUCUAGUUCGGCUUAAGAAUUCUAACUCUGAGAGUCUUUUUUUGCAAUCUGUUCCAUUUUGGUUAAUGAAUUUCCUGAAGUUUUUCCUGAUGAUCUUCCUGGAAUUCAUCCCAUUUCCAUUUCUCCUUAUAGAAUGGCUCCGGCUAAACUAAAAGAACUAAAGGAGCAGUUAAAGAAUCUUCUUAAUAAUGGUUUCAUCCGUCCUAGUGUUUCUCCAUGGGGUGCUCCUGUUCUUUUUGUGCGAAAAAAAGAUGGAUCUCUUCAAAUAUGUAUAGACUAUUGUCAGUUGAAUAAGAUUACAGUAAAAAAUAAAUACCCUCUUCCUAGGAUUCAUGGUCCUUUCGACCAACUUGAGGGUGCUAGGUGUUUCUCAAAAAUGGAUCUCCAUUCGAGCUAUCACCAGUUGAAAAUUAAGGAGGUUGAUAUUCCCAAGACUGUUUUCCGAACACGAUAUAGCCAUUAUGCGUUUUUGGUUAUGUCAGUUGGAUUGACUAAUUUUUCGGCUGCAUUCAUAUAUCUUAUGAAUCGGGUGUUUAGGCAGUUUUUGGAUUUGUUUGUUAUAGUCUUCAUUGAUGACAUCUUGGUGCACUCUAAAAGUGAGGAGGAUUAUGUCAAUCAUCUCCGAAUUGUGUUGCAAACUCUUAAGGACCAGAAAUUAUAUGCUAAAUUUUCCCAAGUGUGAAUUUUGGCCAAGUGUUGUGACUUUUCUCGGGUAUGUUGUUUCUAGUGAAGGGAUCAAGGUGGAUCCACAAAAAGUUGAGGCAGUUAAGAAGUGACCUAGACCCACGACUCCAACCGACAUUAAGAGCUUCUUGGGCUUGAUUGGGUAUUAUAGAAGGUUUGUGAAGAGUUUCUCAUCUAUCGUUGCUCCGCUGACGAAGUUAACUCAGAAAAAAAUUAAGUUUUUGUGGUCCGAUGCUUGUGAAGGUAGUUUUGAGAAGUUGAAGAAUAAGUUGACUUUUGCACCUGUUUUGAUCCUACCCAAAGGAACUAAUGGGCUUGUCCUGUAUUGUGAUGCGUCCCGUUUGGGACUAGAUUGUGUUUUGAUGCAGCAUGAUAAGGUUGUAGCCUAUGCUUCGAGGCAGCUUAAGGUCAUGAGAGGAAUUACCCGACUCAUGAUUUAGAGUUGGCAAUUGUGAUCUUUGCUUUGAAAAUCUAGCGUCAUUAUCUGUAUGGGGUGCAUGUGGAUAUUUAUUCAGACCAUAAGAGCUUGCAGCAUGGUAAACUACUGAGGCUUGGCGCGAUCAUGGCGCGACGCAUCGGGUAUCGCGUCGAUGCCAUCAACGCGCCGCGUCGCCAAUUGCGUCGAUGCCCAGUUUCCAGUCAUUAAAUGUCCGCAUCCUUAAGGGUAAUUAGGUCAUUUUUCCCCAAUCUUCAGCCCUCAUAACACGAAAUUUAGCCCUCUUUUGGCUAAAUACAUUCAUUAUUUCUCUAUUCCUCAAGAACAAGAAACCCUAGGUGGAUAAUUUCAAGGCAAGAAUUCAAACUUUCCUCCAUCAAUCUUCAAGAAAUCAUCCACUAAGGUAUGUAAAGUGUUCAUCCAAGGAUCCCUUUCAUCCUUGGAGCUCAAGAAUCCAAUUUUAAAUUAUAAAUUGUGAUAUUCAUGUUGCGAAUUGAUUUUAACCAUGUUGAUGUUGUUGUAUGAUCCCAAGUUGGAACCUUUAAUGUGAAUUCAUGAAAUUAGGUUAGCAUGUGGGUUGAAAUCUAUGAAAUUGUGUUAAUUAAUGUAAUCAUGAUCUAUUGAUCUAAUGUUCAUGCCUAAGCCUAAAGUUAUGCAUGCAAGGUGUUUGAUAAAAUGCCUAAGAGAACAAGAAUUACGCAUUUAUGACUCCAUAGGGCCUAAAUGAUGAAUUCAUGCUUUACCCUUAUGCUAAAAAAUGACUCCCAUGCUAUUGAUGUGUGUUGUAAUUGUUUUGAUGAAAUAAUCAUGAUAUUAGAGUUAUGCAAUUAUGGCAUGUUUAUAUGUAUUCUUCUACAUGUACAAGAUUAUGAAUAUCAAAUGCUUCAUGAAAAUCCCCAAUGAUUGAACUAUGAAUUGUUGACUAUGGUCAUGUGCCAAGAAGUGUCAUGUCUUGUCAAUUUCAUUCGUACCCGACAAUUUAGCUGUGUGCCUAGGGCCAGUGUCAGUUUUCAAGAUGUUUCUCAGUCAAGCCAUGAUCAGUAGCAUUCAGUCAGUCAGUCACAUGACUCGGAAAACUCAGUAAAUUCAGUAUCAAUCCAGUCCAACUCAGUAAUCUCAGUAAACUCAGUUAGUUAAACAGAACUCAGUAGUAUUCCGUCAGUCAACGGAAUUCAGUGAACUCAGUCUAGUUCAACUCAGUAUAAUCAGUUCAAUAUCUAUUCAGUUGGGAGUAGAAUUUAGCACCGAGUGAACCCAAGGAUGGGACUCACCUGCCAGCAGAGGCUGUGAUUCUUAGAAGCAGUCCUUGCAUUCCAGAACUACAAAGCCAACGUAGGUUAAGACAUCAAAACCUGUCAGAUAAGGGUAGAUGAGGUGGCUUCACCUGUCAGAUGAAGGUACCACUGUUCUCCUUAGAGUACCUGCCAGAUGAGGGUCACUCACAGCUUGUCCUUACCAGUGGCGCGGUAUUGAUACCUUUCCAAUUGGGGUUACAGAUUGGACCCCAACUCAGCUAUAUUGCUUUAUUCGGGGCAUGCCGGUUAGAUAACUACCUCCCACAGUCUCAGUCUCAAUCUUCAGAAUAGAACUCAGAUAGCUUUAUAGAUUUCAAGACUGUCAAAUACAGUCACUCAGCUCAGUACGGAACUCGGCUAGUUCCAUCAGAAUCAAGACCGUCAGAAACAGUCAUCCAGUAUCAGUUAUAUCAGUUAUCAGUAAUCUAUGAUAUAUGUUAUCAGUAUAUUCAGUAUUCAGAAUCCCCAUGUUUCAGUUACAGUCAUGUUUUCAUGCAUGUAUCCUCACGCAGUCAUAUUUAUGUAUUAGUCAAUUAUAGUUCAUACAUAUGAACCCCAUGCAUUCAGUCAUACCUCACUUUGCGUACCAAUACAUUCACACGUACUGACGCAUACUUUUCUUUUGUGCUAUGGUGUUUUAUACCAUAGGUUCGGACGCUCAGGUUCCCGACUGUGCAUAGGCAGCUUCAAGUUUCAGUCAGCAGCAGUAGACUAGCAGUGAGUCCUCAUCAUUCGAGGAUGCUUUAUCAUUUCAGUAUUUUAGUACUUAGUCUAUUUCAGCAGUUGGAGUUAGUUAGGGACAUGUCCCAUCAACUCUCUAUUCAAACAAUUUAGAGUAUUCAGACUAGAUAUUCAGACUUCAGUAUCUUCAGUUAUUUCAGUUGUUUUGGUAUUGUUAUACCACAUUCAAAAUUAUUAUUUUUAUUAUUCAAUUUUGAACCUUAUGGCAUUUCAGCUCAUUUUUCGCAUAUUUCAUAUUAUUAUACAGUUAUUACAGCAGGUACCAGUCAUGGGUUUGCUAGUGGUCCUUCGAGAUUGUUAACACCGUGUAGCGUCUGGGGUACUAGACUCGGGGAGUUACAAUUACUUAUUACUUACUUAUAUAUAAGUACUUAUAUAUACAUACAUACAUACAAGCAUGCAUAUAUAUAUAUACUAGAUGGUGAAGCCUGCGCUAGCGCGGGCCCAAUAAUAAUGACGUAGCUAUUGUUCGAUCGUACCUAGAUAGAACAAUUUUGCAUUGCGAAUGCCAAAUAUACCUCUUUUUGCAAAAGAAGAUGGUAUGAUUGUGACCAUCUUUAAGUUUUCAUAUAGUCAAAGAACAAUGACACAGAAUAUUAGAAUAGCAAAGUGUUUAAGAGCAGAAGCAUGUAUUGCACCAGUAAACAUAUCUCUCUCUGUGUCCAAAUCAUGCUAUCGAAGGAGUUGUAAUAUUUCCCAAUAAUGUACAAUUGCCUCUGUAACAUCCAAAUAGAACAAUGAGUGAAUGCAAUUACAAAUUAUAAUAUUGUCUUCUAAUUUUAGAUGUUUAACAUAAAAUGUUGUAGCAUAAUAACUUACUCCGAAGGAACGUCGCUGAUAAGAUUCCGAUCACCAUCAAGUGAGUUUCACUAAGUUCCAACCUUCUUCGAGUUAUCAACGUUGGAAUGAGCCAGCAACUUUUCUUCACUAUGGCCAACUACAAAUUUACAGUCCUUGGAGCAGAUGCCUCUUAUGUUAAACCCUUCACAAUGUCGGUUCUUAUGGUGGGACCAGCUCGGACAACUAAUGUCCUAAUCAAAGCUGAUGAACAACCAGCUAUAUAUUACAUGGCAGCGAAAAAGAAGAGAGGGCGGCAAGACCAGAGAAGGAGCUAAAACCGCUUAGGAAGUUGCACAACUGACUCAUGAGCUUUCUUGAUGACACUACAUAUCAGCACUUAAUGAAUCAAGCAGGUUUAGUUGCAGCACGCCAUAGGCUUUACUUAUUCAGCGGUUACGAAUCAAACAUGAUUAGCUGCAGUACCAAGUUGUUUAUAAAAGACAGAGUAGGACUACGUAUGAACAUAUACAUAAGACCUCCUGAUCCUUCAAAAACUAAUUGUACUGUUUAGAUGAUGGUUUUCCAUGGCAUAGUAUGGUAUGGUUACUAAGAGAACCAUGUUUGUUUUGAUUGUUUCUUAAAAUGAAUAGUAUGGUAUGGUUUAAUUUCAUGGUUUGGAAACCAUGAAAACCCUUAUUUUAUAACCACCGGUUUGGUGGUAUCCCAUGAUUUGCUCAUUUUUGUUUUUUCAAUUAUGCUCUUAUUUAACAUUAUAUAAUCCUAUUUUACCCUUUACCCUAUAUUUAUUAUUUAACUCCACCUCCUACCCCCAACCCAAAAUCCCACGAACCACCCCUCCCCUCCCUUCCCUAAAAAGAAAAAAAAAUAUUUAAAAAAAAAAAUUAACUUUUUUCUUAUAAAAAAUAACAAACAAGAAUUAAAUAACGAAUUCAUUUACAUUAACAAAACAAUCAUGAAAAUGAAGGUGAGCAAGACUGCAAAGCUUGUUGAAUUACGUUUUGAACAAUACUUAAAUAUUUGAACACGUACUUAAGUAAAAAUUAGCACUUAACUGGAUGUUUGAUUCAUACAAACUAAAAGAUCAUAGAAAAAUAUGUUAACUACUAAAGUUUGAUUUAAACUAAUUUGGGAUUAUUCUUUAAACUAUUACAGAACCCCCAUUAAAAAGUUAUUGAAUAUUCUCAGACAUACUGUCAAAUACCUUUGUUGCACAAAGUUUUCACCUUUCGUAAUCAUUUUUUUAAAAAAAAAAAUUAACACCCAAAAUUUUUCCCAGAAAAAGGAUAUAUGAUUAAACAACAAAGCCAACAUGCAUCAAGAAAUAAGAGCAAACAUGCCAAAAUAUAAUCCUUUGAACACAAAGGAAAAAAGAAACUUGGAGAACUACAUACACAUAUAUGUCAAUCACUCAAAUACAAAAGCAAGGAAGGAAUUAAAAAACAAAACGACAAAAAUUGUACGGGAAAAACUCACCGAUGAAUUUUAGGGGUAUAAAAAUAUAUGCACAUCCGUAGAAGAAUGAGGAAUGAAGAAGACAGAAAAUAGUAAAAAUUAGGGGGAAAGUGAAGACAUGUAGAAGUUGAAGCCAGCUGUCUCACAUAUCAAAACAGUGUAAUAAAAAUGAAGAUUAGAAGGUUGAAGUGAAAUAUAUAGAAGAAAUACUAAGCAGCGGUUUGGCCAUUCAAAUUACUUUUCUCCCGAGGAGUUGGAGUUAAAUGAAGUUAGAAUUGGAGUUGUGUUUAAUUAUUUUUAUAAAAAAGAUAAAUUUAAGAUUUUUUAAAAAAACUUUUUAAAAUAGGAUUUUAUGUCCUCAACUUUUUAAAAUUAUCAAAAUUAUCUAACUACUAAUUUAUUUACUAAUAUACAUACAAUCAAAUGAUGUUGAGAAAAUAAUUUAUAUGUCUUCAAUUGAUAAAAUAAUUAACAACAAACUAAUUAUUAUGAUAGUUAUUCUUCUAAAAUUUAAAUAAAAAUAUCACAAGCACGAGCUAAAUAAAUUUAUCUAACCAUAAUCGAUUGAAUAGAAAAAAAUAUAUUUUGAUAUGUCUAAAAAGAUCAAAAUAAUAUGUCGAGUCCUAAAUUAUAUGAGAAGAGAAAAAUAUAAUUUAAAAAUUAAGAAUUUCUUAAAUAGAUGGUAUUUUGAUCUAGAUAAAAAAAUUAUAAUAUUUAGUAUUGGUAAAAUAUAUAAAUCAUUUUAAAACAUUAUUUAGAAAAUAAAUUUUAUACUAAGUAAUGAGGGAUAAACGUGCAUGACACGUUCUCAUAAACUAGUAUAUAGAAAUAUAUAAAAAAAGUUUAAAACAUGAUUACUAUUUUCUAACAAAAGUUUAAAACAUGAUUUCUUUUUUAAUCUUUCAACAUUUUCCUCCUCUCUUACUUCCUGACAUAAUUGCUAUUUUUUAAAAAUAAAAAUUUUAAAUCAUAUUUCUUUUUAAUCUUCUAACUUUUAAAUAACAAAGAUAAAAUAUAACCAAAAUAUAAUAUUUUUAAGUCUAAACAUAAAACGCAGAAAGACGUUAUAGAAAUAGCGCAUAAAGAGCAUAUUAUAAAUAUGUACUGUAAAUAAUAUUACUUGAAUAGAGAAAAAAUAUAUUUUGAUAAAUUCUUAAUAGAGAAAAAAUAUAUUUUGAUAAAUAUGAUUGAUAGAUACAAAUAUAUUUUAUAUAUUCUUAAAUUUAUUGAUGAAAAUUCUUAAUUAUUUUCACUUGAAUUAAUUAUUUUAUUGAAUUUGGUCUUUCUAAAAAAAUUACAGAAUUUAGUUAAUAAGAGGGUUUUGUGUAAAAAUUUAAAGAUUGGGUUAUAUGUAAUAAUAAUAAAAAUUGGAAGUGGAAAAAAAGAAAAACAACAAAAAGUUGUUUUCCCUUUUCGAAAUUUAAUUCCGAAAUUAUUUUCCAAAUUUUUAUGGUCAAACACCAUAAUUAUCAACUUCGAAAAAAAUUUCAAGAAAAAAAGAAAAAAUAUCCAUGGCCAAACGGGCCCUAAAAUGUCCAUAAAAUAAUUUCAGUAUUCCAAAAGUACCCUUCGUCGUACCAAGAAGUCUCACUUAUAUAUAUACUAGCUAGCUUACGCCGUGCUACGCACGGCCCAAUGUUGAUCUUUAAAAAUUUUACGUUAUGUAUAAUUCUAUCAUUUAAUUAAAAGCUUUAUUUGUUUGGUUGAUAAAUUUUAAGUUAGACAUAUAAUAUUAUAUUUAGAUUGAUGAAAUUUGCAUAACGAUAUUUUAAGUUGUUAAAACUUUUGUGACAUUGACAGUCAAUUAUAUUUUUUAAAUAAUUUAAGUUCUUAAUUAUUGCGAUUUAUAAUAUUUUUUUUCUAUUCUACUAAUUAGAAGUAACAUUAUUAAUUUAAUAUUAAAUAUUAUUAAUUUUUUAAAACUUAAAUGACUUUAUAAUAAUUUUUUAAUAUUAAUUUUUAAUACUUAGAUGACUCAUAAUAAUUAAUUAGGGGUGAUAUAGUAAAUUACGUUGAACCAACUAAAACAGACAUGUCAAAAAUUUUGUCUUUUUUUAUUAAAUAUUGCUAAUUUUUUUUUUCCAAAUAAUAAUAAGUGAAACUUUGGAGAAUUUAGUAGUCAUUUUGAAAACUACCCUUUUAUUAAAUAUUAUUAAUAUUAUAAUACUUAAAUGAAAUAAUUUAUAAUAAUUAAUUAAAGGUGAUAUAAUAAAAUUACGUUUGAAGCAGCUGAAAUAGGCAGCUGGAGUAGCCAGGACGAUCCCAAGCUGCUCAGCAUUACCGCUUCUAUUAUAGAGUAACUAGAUGAACACGACCCGUGUACCACGGCCCAAUAUAUAUUUUAUUUUAAUUUAUGUGAUGUAAAUAAAAUUUAAAAAAAUAAUUAUUAAAAUAAUUUAAGUUUUUAAUUAUUAUGAUUUAUGAUAUUUUUUAUUCUAUUUUAAUUUAAGUGACAAUAAUAUAAUUUCAAAAGUGAGUCAAGUAUUUUAUAUUUUUAAUUUUUUAUCAAAUAUUAUUUAUUUUCUUAAUAUCUAAAUGAAUCAUAAUAAUUAAUUAAGAGUGAUUAAUUAUAUUAAUCCUACAAAAAUUAACAUAAUUUUAUCCUAAUUAAUAUAAUUUUAUUAUAUUCAAUAGUAAUCAUGAAUAAUUCACCUAAAUAAUGCAAAUCUUAAGAAAAUAUUACACACACAGAGAUGCACACAUAUUAUAUAAUAUAUUAAUAAAACGUUAAGGAGCCAAGUUUUACAAAAUGAUUCUGAACAUUGUUUUUAUGUACAUAAGAUGACAUUUGAUGCAUCGUCAAAUUUAGAUUCCCAAACAUGAGUCUGAGACUGAAUCUUGGUGCAUAAAAUAAACAAUUUAAAAUUAAGGUUAGCACAAGAUAUAUUAAACAAAAGAAAUAUUUCGAGCAUUAUUAUCAAUUUCAACAACUAAAAGAUUUUGCAUCAAUAUUUAUCAACUAAGUUUUAACCAAUUAUUUUCUUUACAAACUCACAACACACUCAAUAAGGAAAGCAGUUUUCAAACGUUCUCCAUCAUAACAAGCAUACAAAUAGCUAUUAAAAAUUCAGCAAAAGUUUUUCAAAACAUGCAGAUAGUCAUAGAUUUAUUAUUCAGUUAGUUUUCAAGCGGUUAAAUAAAAAAAAUGUUCAUUACAUCAAUAGAUCUGAAUGUAUUCACGCAGUAAAAAUAAAGUUGAUCACGAUAGCAGUAGUACAUAUCACGAAAAUCAGACUGAGGAAAUAGUUGCAACUCUUUCAUUUGAGUUAGAGAGAAAAUGUCAAAGAUAAUGACAUUGGAGACAACGCAAGAUAUCAGAGAAGCUAAAGCGCAUAGUAUCAUAGAAUGAUAUCACAGAGCGAACAUUUAUUCAGGAGUAUGAAACUUAAACAAUUACAAAUGAUGUUUUAAAAUGGAUAAAGUCAUAGUUACGAUUUUAGUUGUUUCUUUUUUCAAUCAGUUUACUUUGUGUUGUAAUUGGUAAUUUGAUAUCAUUGAGAUGAUUUAAGGAUCAAAUUAACAAAGAAAGUUGCAAAUGGAAAAGUGCAACGAUAGUAGUUAAUAAAUGAGUAAAAGAAAAAGCAAGAGGUGAAAUUAUGUCUAUUUGUCACCUUCGGUAGCUGUAAGCAGGCGUUCUUUUAAAGAAGAGCGAAAAGACAAUAUGAAGAUGAGAGCUGCAAAGCCAUAAGAGUACACAAAAACCUGUGGUAAAGAAUAUGAAAAUGUCAUAUCAAUAGAAAAUAAAAAAGUUAGAAUAACAAGAGGUGAAACUAAGUCUAUUUAUCACCUUCGAUAAUUGCAAGUAGGCGCUCUUCUAAAGAACUGCAAAAAGGCAAUCUGAAGAUGAGGACUGCAAAGCUAUAUGCAAUCUAAGAUCUUCUUGGUUGUUAUUCAAAAGGUCCAAUAAUAUAUAUAUAUAUGGCAAUUCUGAUUAGUCAAUAAAAAUCGAUUUCAAUGCUAUUUUUUUUAUGAGUUUAGCCAAUUUAUCAUGAAUGGUAAAAGGGGGUAAAGGAACCGUGUGUUGAUUGUCCUGUAAAUAUAAAUUGCCUUCCUUUAUAUGUAAAAAGGGAAUAAAUAAAUCAAUUAAAUUUUGGGAUGCUUCAUGAAGUGCUUCUUUCAGAGUUAAACUUCCAUUUGUCCAUAUUUCGAUAAAAAGUAUCUCUUGUUUUUCAUUUUCAUUUCCAUAAGAAUGAAUACUAUGAUUCGCGUUUCGAACAGGCAUGAAUACAACAUCUAUAGGAUAACUUCCAUCUUGAAAGUUAUGUGGCGUUUUUAUAAGAUAUCCAGCCUAGUCUAUAGGAGGUUUUGAAAAUAAGGGAGCAAUAAUCAUUUUCUUUUUAUUUUAUUUAGUAAUUUACUAGUAUUUUACCUACAUAUACUUUUUUGUUUACAUUAUAGAAAAAGAAAGAGAGGAUAUUUACCUACAUUUACCUUAUAAUGCAAUCCCAUUCUCUGGUCCAAUUGCUGUUUUUGUUUCUGUAUUUCUGAUUUAUCCACUAGGUUAGUUUGGUUGGUUCUGAAGGAACUGGAUCGGAAAAAAGAGGGAUUCUAGUUGUAAGAUAUCUAAUGAAACCGUCGCUGGAAUUGAGAUCUUAUUCAAAGAGAGAGAUCUCAAAUAUCUAAAGUUUUUUUUGUAUAUUAUAUGGAUUAUUCAAUCCGCAAGGGCCAUGAUUAGGAAUUGUUUGGUCGUCUUUCUCUGAGGAAGAGUCAAAAUAGAAUCAAUUUGAAUUCGGGACCACUAUUCGAAAUCUUAGUGAAACACUGAAUUUCUUAUCUCAUGUCUGCUUUUCAUAAAAAAAUACCAAUUAAAGUGGAGGGUUUCUUCAAACAACAAAGGGUUGGGUCAACUAUUCAAUCAAAUCUCAGGGCUUAACCCUGGACAGGCGGUGGAAACUACCAAGCUGGAGUAAGGUAGGGGCAGAGGGAAUUUUCGGUGGAGCCGUGAAAUGCGUAGAGAUCGGAAAGAACACCAACGGCGAAAGCAAUCAGCUGGGCCGACACUGAGAGACGAAAGCUAGAGGAGCGAAUGGGAUUAGAUACCCCAGUAGUCCUAGCCAUAAAUGAUGGAUACUAGGCGUUGUGCGUAUCGAACUGUGCAGUGCUAAUCUUCAAAAAAUGUUUCAAACAACGUAAGCAAUUAAAGAAAGGCUCAUGGUUCAAUAUUUUUUCUGGUAUUCCUACGAUUUUCAGACUUGACCCAUCAAUUUUAUCUGAUAAUCCGGCUAUUGACAUGCCAAAUCAAAACUUAAUAAUGAAACUGGAGUAGUAUCUUGUAUAUACAAAAUCCCAGAAAAAUACAUAUAAGCACACACAAAAAAAAUUGUAAUUUUUUUAUAGAGUUUGUGAAAGGGUUAUUUAUUAAGAAUCAAUUUCUUUGUGAAAGAGUUAUUUAUUAAAAAUCAAUUUCAGAUCAUUUAUUUAGAUGUUGCAAUGAUCCAAGAAUGUGUUACUGGGUUCAAAAUUCUAAUCUUAUUAUUAGAAGAAGGUAGCAGUUGAAAACAUACAUGUACAUUAGAAACUAAGAACAACAGUCUUCUUCUAUAUACAAAAGAUUUGUAUGUUGUGGUGUUAAAGACAUACUCCUUAGGAUGCAUCAAAAAGUGGCUCCAAUUGUAACCCAAAAGUAGCAAGCCAAAAACGUUUCACUGUUGAUCAAAUUAAGGUAUAACAGUAAGGUAAAGUGAAGUUAAUCAGGGAAAUAGAUUGCAAUGAAUUUUGUUGCGAUAAUAAUUUCAAAGUAAGUGAGAUACCUUCUGGUAGUUUUUCAGGGGUGGAGGUCUGGUAUGAGAAGAACUUGUUUGAGUUGAUGUACUCUGGGUGUCUUCUGUAUUUAUGUCAUGAUCUUCAAUUUUUCUUUUACCACCUCCUUCAAUGUCCAUUGCAACAGCUGAAAGUUGAGCACUGACUGAAGUCUCCUUCUCUUCGAAAGAUGUAAUGAUUAACUUUCCAGAACUUACAUCAGUGGAUUUUGGAAAUGAUUUUUUGACCUGGAUACUGAAUAUUUUUUCAGUCAUUAGUGUAGUCGCAUUUUCAACAAGUAGCAUUUGCCUCUAUAAAAUGCAAACAACAAAGAAUAAUUUUCUAUGAUUUUUCCCUUUUUAGAAUUGAAAAGAAUUAUACUACUAAAAUGGUAAGUUGUCAUGUUUUUUGAAAGAAGAAUUAUAUUCAUUAAUAAUGUUUUGCUAAAUAUAUGAACACACUUACUUUGUGAAGUAAAUUCACUAAAGUUAUAAAGAAACCUUGGCACAACAAAUAUCAUAUACUUCAUCUGAAGUGAGCUGCAACAUUGCUUCGGCCGCUUCAUCAUCUAUAAGUGUCGUUGCAGAACCACUAUCGUCUCCAUAGUGACUUCAAAUUGACAUCUAUUAUAAGAAAGAUCAAGAAAGUGUUCAUUAAAUGAAUGAAAAUCUUAUAUUAUAAAUUCUAUGUGAAAUUUUUUUAGGUUAUUUGUUAUACUUUGGAACAAGAUUUGUAGAUUGACAACAAGUUGCACAGUAAAAUGCUCUGCAGGAAUGAAUUCUGAAGAAGACACGCUUACAGUCUGAGCAAUUCAUAACAACAAAUUCUUGGUUUUCAUUUGGCAACGAAAGUGCAGCUUCUAUAUAAAAGAUCUGACCCUAAAAGAUUUGAACGGUAGAAAUUUUAUUUUGUAAUUUAAAAUUUAAUAAAAGUUUAGUAAAAUUAUUUAUAAAAUUUAUGAUUAUUUUUACCGAGGGGUUGUGAAAGAGUGAUGGAUGUGAUCUCAUCUUGAAAGGGAAUGAAUCGAAGAGAUCCUGUUGCAGUUGUAGUCUUUCUUUUAUAAUCCAUUAACAAUUGCUCAUUUGCUUUGAUCCUAGAAAUUAAAAACAUAAAGAAUUAUUUUUUUUUUUUGCACAUUUGUGUUAUGUAAAAGUGAACUUUUUUUGUUGAGAAGGAUACCAUGCUCUGAGCGCAGCAACCUGUGGGUACGAAGGAUUGAUCUGAAUCAUUGUGCCGAAUCUACUUGUUGAACCUGCGUGUAUUGAAAUAGUUAGUUUUAAUUUUGUAGUUUAAUGUUUGUUAACGAUAUCAAAUACCUAUGUAUGUGUACCUGAUUUUGAUUUUGCAAUUUUUCUCGCGAGAAUGAUUGAAAAUUUAUAGAGUAUUUCCAAAAUUUUGCUUCCAUCAUGAUCGAUAAAAUUUGUCCAGAGUGUGAGUUUGGUGGGUUUUUUCCUGUAUAAAAAGAAGAAAUGGUAUUUGGUAUUUAUAUUAUAUUUUUAAAAAGAAAAUUAUAUUCAAUAAUGAUAUACAAAUAUUGAUAAUAACAAAAAAGUGAGAUAAUUAUUUAUUUAUAUCACCUCUUCACCAACAACGAUUUUAUGCAAAAUGUGAGAUAGUGAGUUAAAAAAAAACAUAUGUUAAGCUGAAAAUAUAAAGCAUCUAUAUCUUGAACUUUGUAAAUAUAAUUAUUAAUCAAAAAUAAUUUUUAGCCCAAGCAAUGAAACAUGGCAUUAUAACAAAUAAAGCUUGAAAUAAAAAGAGCAUGAAAUUUCAAUCUCCAUAAACAAAAGAUCGAUGUACAAUAGGUUUUAUUACCGUUCUUAAUAAUGUACUUCUAUCUAAAAUGGAGAAUUGAACCAGAAUAUUAAAAUUAAAUUCUAGCAGAAACUGAAUUAUAAUAUACUAAUCUAACAUAUCAUCAAAAGUAAAUGUCCCAAUAUUUCAGUACUAAAUAAAGAUUUUAAAGGAAAUUUUGAAUAACAAUUUGAAAAAAAAAAAGUAAAUGUCCCAAUAUUUCAAUACUAAAUAAAGAUUUUAAAGAAAAUUUUGAAUAACAAUUUGAAAAAUAGAAAGAGUUUGAGUUUGCUCAAAGACAAUUCUUAAUCUAUCAUUACAAUAAACACCAUAUAAACAUAUUAAUCUAUAUUUGCUUUCAGAUAUCAAUUACAGAAUUUUCGAGGACUUUGUAUUAAGAACAGUCAACUAUUUAAUAUUAGCAAAUUGCAAAGGGAUAGACGCUAUUAUAAGUGAGUAAAAUUACCAUUACCAGUAAGCAACUCUAUGUCAACAGAGAUGAAAAUCCUGCUCAAAACUAAGAAAAGCACACAUCUACAUAAUUUUAUGUUUCAAUUUUGCGGCAGUUUCAAUGUACUCGUCCAAAAUAGAGAAUUGAACCAAAUUAAAUAUCCAAGUCUAAUUCUAGUAGAAGUUGAACUAUACUAUACUAAUCCAACAAAUCAUUAAAUAUGAAGCGCCCAACGUUCUAAUACUAAAUAAAAAUUUUAAUGUGAACUAUCAUUAAUAUUUUGGGAAAACACAGUGUGAUUUGGUUUAAAAAUAAUUUUUAAUCUAUUACGACAAUAAACACUAUAUAAGCAUGUUAAUCUAUAUUUGGUCUCAGAUACAUACUGUAGGAUUUCUGAGCAGUUUGUACUAAGAACGCCUAACAAUUUACUAUCAGUAAAUUGCACAGAGAUGAAUGUAGGGGAUUUGGGUCACAGGUGACAAGAGUUUUAAAAUGAGGUGUAGGUGACGCAAGUCUUAAUUAUUAGUUGGAGGUGAUAAUUACUUUAUUAUGGAUUAAGAAAGUUGGGGAAGUUUGAAAAUAAUCUACAAGUUUUUAAAUUUACACUUUGAUCCCAAUGUAUACCUAAAAUAACGGAAAAUGGAGGGAAAAAAGAUGUCUUUCUCUCUCUUCUCACCCAUUGUUGUUUUCUCUCUCUUAGCGAUUUUUGUUGUUAAUUGUUUCUGUUUCUGCUGCUUUAUUCAUCAUUUUCUACUUCAUUAUCAUCUUCAUCUUUUCCUUGUCGACCAUUUGUUGUUGUUGUUGUUGUUGUGGGUACAACGCUACUGCUGCGAUCUAACCAAUUUCUUAGAUCAAAUUUUAUUUACUACAUCACUUUCCACUUUGGCAUUACUUCAUAGAUUACUUUGGUAAGUAAAAUUAUGAUUUUUAUUCGUAUUUGUCAUCUGGGUACACUUCUAUUUUUCCAACAAUGGAUAGAAACCCAAUUAUGAAUCCAGUAUAAGUGCCCAUAAUUUAAACAGAUCAAUCAUCUGAUGCAUCAGAUGAGUAAUCUGUUGCAUGAGAAGAUUUAUCUGUUGCAUCAUCGUAUUAUCUGUUGCACUAGACUAAUUAUCUGUUGCACCAGACUAAUUAUCUGUUGCAACAAAUGAUUAAUCUGUUUGAAACAACACAAAUCAACCCCUGCCACAAACCCAACAGAUAACCAAUAUGUUUUCUACACUUGCUAUUGCUACUGGAUUAAAAUUUUCCUUACUCCAAUUACCCAUCCCAAAUUUCCUAAUUCAAUUUCUCAUUUUACUUGUUAUUUUCAUUAAUCAAGAAAAGAUUAAAAAAAAUUCAUGUUUACCCUUUGCAUUAAUAACUUUUUCUUCAAAUUAAAAUUGAAACAUCAUUUAAUAGGGGGACUAUACGCCGAUCGACGUUAAAAGCUUUCUUCUCUUAUGAAAUUUGAUUGAAUAGCAAACAAUGGUUAUUUCAAACACGUCUAAUGUCCCAACAACUGAUCAGUGGGUUAUGGUAAACUACACAUGUUAUUAAUUAUUUUUCUUAAUCAAUGUGGCAUCUCAAUUUGGGAUGGAUAAUUUGACACGGAGGGAGUACGAAUUAAAACGUUAGAUCCAAACAAAGCAACAAACUAGUCAUUUGUUGAAACAGACUAUUUAUCUGUUGCAUCAACUUCUUAUAUGUUGCAACAUGAGUAAUCUAUUUUGAACAACACAUCAACCCCUGCCACAAACCUAACAGAUAAAUCUUGUUGUUGCUACUGGAUUCUAAAUUAUUCCUUUUUACGUCGAAUCGUUGACAUGUUUGUUGAGAAGAUAAUAGACAGAAUGAAAAUUAAAUAUGGAUUAAAACAUCAAAUAUCAAACAUAAUUUAUUUAUUAAAUAAAAACAAAUAAAAAUACAUAUAAUAGAUUAAAAGAAAAAUAAUAGUCUAAUUAUUAUUAUUAUUAUUAUNNNNNNNNNNNNNNNNNNNNNNNNNNNNNNNNNNNNNNNNNNNNNNNNNNNNNNNNNNNNNNNNNNNNNNNNNNNNNNNNNNNNNNNNNNNNNNNNNNNNNNNNNNNNNNNNNNNNNNNNNNNNNNNNNNNNNNNNNNNNNNNNNNNNNNNNNNNNNNNNNNNNNNNNNNNNNNNNNNNNNNNNNNNNNNNNNNNNNNNNNNNNNNNNNNNNNNNNNNNNNNNNNNNNNNNNNNNNNNNNNNNNNNNNNNNNNNNNNNNNNNNNNNNNNNNNNNNNNNNNNNNNNNNNNNNNNNNNNNNNNNNNNNNNNNNNNNNNNNNNNNNNNNNNNNNNNNNNNNNNNNNNNNNNNNNNNNNNNNNNNNNNNNNNNNNNNNNNNNNNNNNNNNNNNNNNNNNNNNNNNNNNNNNNNNNNNNNNNNNNNNNNNNNNNNNNNNNNNNNNNNNNNNNNNNNNNNNNNNNNNNNNNNNNNNNNNNNNNNNNNNNNNNNNNNNNNNNNNNNNNNNNNNNNNNNNNNNNNNNNNNNNNNNNNNNNNNNNNNNNNNNNNNNNNNNNNNNNNNNNNNNNNNNNNNNNNNNNNNNNNNNNNNNNNNNNNNNNNNNNNNNNNNNNNNNNNNNNNNNNNNNNNNNNNNNNNNNNNNNNNNNNNNNNNNNNNNNNNNNNNNNNNNNNNNNNNNNNNNNNNNNNNNNNNNNNNNNNNNNNNNNNNNNNNNNNNNNNNNNNNNNNNNNNNNNNNNNNNNNNNNNNNNNNNNNNNNNNNNNNNNNNNNNNNNCUUUGAUUGAGUUGUGACUCGAUAUAGGUUGCAUCAGAUAAAUCAUCUGUGACAACAGAUAUAUCAUCUGUUGCAACCAUAGUGAACCUGUUGCAUCAGCUAAUUUAAUUGUUGCAACAUAUAAUCUACUUUUUUUUAAAAAAAUAAUAACUAUCAUCAUAUCAUUAAUCCAAAUUUGCUUACUUUUUUAUUUUAUAAAUAAAAAAAAUACCUUUUCAAAUUCCUUAAUAAAAUAAUAACUAUUUUAUUAUAUAAUAAAUAUUUUAAAAAAAUAAAUUCAAAAACAAAAAUGGUAAAAAGUCACUAUCAGUUAUUAAAAUUUUGGUUAUAAAUUGUAUUUAUCAUUUAUUUCCUUAUUAUUUAUUUACGAAACAUUUUUCAUAUUGAAUUAUCGGAAUGGAAAGUCAUGUCUUUUUAUUUUCACCCUCUCAAUAACAAUAACCCUUUUUAUUAAUAACUGUCAGGUGCAACAUAUGAUCGAUCUGUCGUAGCAGAUUAACCUCUAACUGUUGACACAAAUUGCUGCUCAAUCCUUACCACCAACCGUCGACAUGUUGAGAACAAUGAAUAAAUAGAAUGAUUGUUAUUAAAUACUAAAUAAGAAUUAAAAAUUCAAAGUCGACAAUAAAAUGAAAUGAAUGUUCAUAAUUUUUGAAUCCCUUGGGUAGAUUUGAUAUACAAAAGGAGAAAAAUAAUCACUAAAAUAAAAAACAUUACCUAAUUAUCAUUACUACUAUUAUUAUUAUUAUUGUCAAUAAAAUCUCUCUGGAGUUCAUCAAACUACCUUUGAUGUUCACCCAAGGACUUGAUAUGAAUAUUCUUGUACGAAUCUGGAUCAUCCAUAUUUGUAAGGAGGGACCUAUUUAUAAAUUAUUGUAUCUCAAAAAGAAAAGAAAAUUGCUUUAAAAUAAAUGUAACAGAUGGGUAAUCUGUUACAAAAUAUAUUCUUUCUGUUAGAUGACUUACAACAUACUGACAAUCUUUUGCAACAGAUGAAUAUAUCUGUUUGAUUUUUUCAACAGGUUGAUCAACUGUCGUUACAGAUGUCUCCAAUUAUUUGACAAUAUAAACAGAUGUGUCAUCUGUUGCAACAAGCUAGUCAUCUGUUUAUUCAAUUUAAGUCAUAGAUGGGCUAGAAAGAAUAAGGUGCGUGCAGAUGGAUCUACUAUCAUAUGUGUGGGAGUUAAGUAUAUAUUACUGAUAAGGUUACCGGGAGUCAUAGAUGGGCUAGAAAGAAUAAGGUCCGUGCAGAUGGAUCCACUAUCAUAUGCGUGGGAGUUAAGUAUGUAUUACUGAUAAGGUUACCGGGGCAACACAUACAAAGUACAAUGUUAUUGUGAAUGCAGUUUUUAACCGAUUAGGCAUUGAUCAUUCAAACAAGAUCCUGCAUUGUAUCGUUAAGUUUGAUGAGUUCGAAAUUGGUAAGGCUGCGAACCUCAUGAAGAUAGUGCAGAUACCCUAUUACGAAUUACUGACGGUUGGUGCUCGUGUUUAUGUGUGUCAAGUUUUAACAAGGGAUCAAUAUUUGUCGUCACUGCAGAGAACCAAUAGCGAUUGGACUUAACUUUAAGUGUGAAUUAGACCCUUAGAGGGC